GCGCCGGUAGUCUAGUCUGGUAGGAUGGCGGCCUAGCCCGCCGCUGAUCCCGGGUUCAAAUCCCGGCCGGCGCA
rnacentral:tRNA from 3 species